rnacentral:tRNA from 1 species
UGGUAAUUAGUUUAACUAAAAUUAAUGAUUUCGACUCAUUAGAUUAUGACCCCACUCAUAAUUACCAA